rnacentral:rRNA from 1 species
ACGGAGGGUGCAAGCGUUGUUCGGAAUCACUGGGCGUAAAGGGCGGGUAGGAGGUUUGAUAAGUAAGAUGUGUACGCCCCAGGCUUAACUGUGGAAGUGCAUUUGAAACUGUCAGACUUGAGUAUCAGAGGGGAAAGUGGAAUUCACGGUGUAGAAGUGAAAUGCGUAGAUAUCGGGAGGAAUACCGGUAGCGAAGGCGACUUUCUUGCUGAAUACUGAUACUCAGGCGCUAAAGCGUGUGGAGGAAACAA